rnacentral:lncRNA from 1 species
AAAUUUAAUUUCAUGCACAAAAUAUAAAACAUAAUUUUAAAUCAUGCAAAAUCAAUUAAAAACAAUUAAAAUAAAAGGAAAAUGGACUUAAAUGAAAACAAAGGUGUAUAUGUGGAUCAGGGUGCAAACAACAAAAAAUUGGGCCCAAAAGUACUAGCCAUCCCAAUCCGGAAUGAGGGGAAUGGAAAAUUUAAGCUCAAAUUGAAAAUCCACGUGAAUCAUAUUAUUCACGUUUUACACGUGCUCUGAAUUUUAAAAUAGACUUCAUCUCCCUCCUUCUGCCUCUACCGUGCCGGAGGUUACCACCGUCGGUAGUGGAAAGCUAACAUGCUCUAAAUUUCAUGCUCAAUCCAAAUCCACUAACAAAAUUCACAGAAACUUCACAGAAUUUCCAGAUUGAAGAAUAACAUCCAAGAACACUAACUCUAAGAAUAAAAAUUAAAUUGUGAAUAUGUGGAAUCAAAGCCCUAUAUGUUAGGGAUUUGAUUCAUCUUAAGGAUCUCUACAUCAUGGUAACUUAUUUGCAAUAAAUCGGGAAGAAAAAAAUAUCUCUGAAGCGAAGAAUUUCUCCGACGAGUGGUUGAAUGGAAGAAGACGAAGCUUGCACUGAGGAAUCACUUGAAUCAUGUACUUCUUGCUCUUAUCUUCUUAUUGUUUCUUCUAUUUCUCUUCUUCUUCUUUUUUCUGGAUCUUGGGAUGAAUUUGAGAGAUCGAAGAGGUUGUAGAGAGAAUUUGUGAGGUUGAGCUAUACUCCAUUGAAGCUUCAAUGGAUUAUUUCAAAGGAGAUUUGUGUGAGGGUGUGAAUUGAGUGAGAGAGAGUUUCGAGAGUUCUAAUAGAAUGAGAGGUGUUAAAGAGUGUAAAGAAUUGAGUUCAAUGAAAAAAUGAUUGAGAGCCCUGAAGGAGUGAGGAUGAAUCAAUUUAUAGGCCAUGAACUAACCAUUUAUGUUAGCAAUGUUAUCUCAUUGAAGCAGAAAUUAGUUGAGAGUUAACAUGGGGUUAGAUUAGGUUAGUUAUGUUAGUUAAGUUUGGUGAAUUUGGUUAGUUGAAAUGAUUUGGUGAAAUUGAAUGAAAUGUGGUUAAAUGGAGCUGCUAUUAAAAGUAACUGAAUCGAGUUGUUAGUUCCUAUUUUUGUUAGUAUGAAAAAAGUUCAGUUAACUGAUUAAAAAUGUUAGAUGGUGUAGGUUAAUUUGUUAGGCGUUAAAAAUUGUUUAAAAAAUGAAGUGGUAGUUCAAGAUCUUUGUGCUCUAUUUUCUAAAAUGCCUUGCUAUAUUGUUGAUAUUUUAACAACUACGUCAUGGAUGUGUAAUUGCUAGCUUGCUGCGUAUUAUGUAUGAAAUUGGUCAUGCUAUUGUUAUGUUAAAAUGUUGUGCAGAAAUGCUAUUGAUGUAAAUUUUUAUGACUGAAUGUUAAUUUGCAAUGCAAUGUGAGUGAUUUGUUUUUAUAUUGAUGUGCUAUUGCAGGGUGGUUUUAUGGUAUGAUGCAAGUGAUAAUGGUCUGAUGUAGCAGGCCCUGUUGAAUGUAUGAUGUUGCAAGAUAUGUCAUGGCCAUGAAGGUGUGAUGGUGAUGAACCAAUGCUGCAACAGGAGGACUCAUGACAGGGCAAGAUUUGUGAGCUGAUGCCAAAUUUAUUCAUGUCAAGGUGAGUUGCAAAUGGCUCGUUGAUGUAUCAUGUGCAUUAUAUGUCAUGUAUGUUAGUCAUUGUUUGCGUUGGAUAUGGUUGCAUGUUGAUUUUGGUGAGUGCAUGACUUUGGUUUGUGCAAGGUUAUAAGGCUUGUGGUUAGCAAGGCAAGAUGACCAAGUUCAGAAGAAAAGUGACCAAGGCAUGACCGACUUGUAAAACAAAAGGGAUUUCUUGCUCAUGAAGGAAGUGUAAUGAUGGAACAUCAAGAAAUCUGGAACACCAAGAAAUCAAUGCAUGGAUGAAAUGUGAUUAGUAUUACGGUUUUUUUAGAAUGAAAAAUGUAAUGGUUGACUUUGGUUAAGUGGUUGACCAAAAAGUCAAUAGUUGACCAAAACUCAACUUUUAUAAAAAGUGAAAAAAAUUAUUUUCCUUUUGUAAUGGAAUAUGUAUACACUAAUGAAUGAAUGAAAU